UACGAAGGGGGCUAGCGUUGCUCGGAAUCACUGGGCGUAAAGGGUGCGUAGGCGGGUCUUUAAGUCAGGGGUGAAAUCCUGGAGCUCAACUCCAGAACUGCCUUUGAUACUGGGGAUCUUGAGUCCGGGAGAGGUGAGUGGAACUGCGAGUGUAGAGGUGAAAUUCGUAGAUAUUCGCAAGAACACCAGUGGCGAAGGCGGCUCACUGGCCCGGUACUGACGCUGAGGCACGAAAGCGUGGGGAGCAAACAGG
rnacentral:rRNA from 1 species